rnacentral:lncRNA from 1 species
AAAUAAUUAACUUGAACUAGAGGCAAUAUCCACAGUGCCUGAUAUCAAGUUAAACUUUUAAAAUAAUUACGUUGCACGAUAAUAUCCCAUGACUAAUAUUCCUUCACUUAGUUUAGUCAAAAUCUGAUUAAUCAUAAUUUGAAAUACAAAUUGCUUCUACCAAGAAAACUCUCAGAAUAGCUCAUUCACACUUCGGUUACGACCAUAAUUAGGUUGCAUUCUAAUUUUAGCAUUUCA